UAAAAAUGUGAAAUGCGCAUUUUUUGCUUUUAAGAAGAAAUGGAAAAAUUAUCAAAAUUACACACUUUUCGAGUCAGAGCCUCAGAGGCAAAGAUAUUUCCACGUUUUAGAUGAGAUUAAGGUUUCAAGGGAACCUUUGUAAAUCGGACAUUCCAAUCUUUGCAUGAAAGGACUCUUGAAAUAGUCCUUAAAUACUCCCUUCAGCUGCUUGUGAUACGUUGAACAGUUUAGAUUAAACAUAUCCCUAGAGAUGCAACAUAUUCUAAUAAGAUGCAGCAAACUUGGAUUCAAGACUUUUGGGAUGAAGACAUAGAGAUGGGGGUUAGUUGGAGGAGAGGUGGAGUGUAGACAGGGAGAGAGGUUGGGUAGAGAUAGGGGUGGAAGGGUAGAAAUGGAGGAAGGAUGGAAAUAGGAUACAGUGAUAACCAGAAACUCUGAAAUAGACGACUCUUAGAAUUAAGUUCAAACUUCAAAAAUCCAAUGAGCAUGAGACACAACAAUUGUUCAGUGUAAACAGACCCAUUAAAUAAGUGAGUUGGAAAACUAUUUGCUUUGGAACAACAUUGAAUACACUUAAAUAUCGCUAUAAUGUCGUCUUCCUAUUCUAUUGUUUUCUGGAUAUGACUGUACAUAUAUGAGCUAUGGAGGAAGAGGAUUAAGAAUGGGGUGGGGAUAUUGAGGGGAGAAACCUAUGAAAUAAAGGGAUGAAGGUGGAGGUAUGACUAUAGAGGUGUGGGCGAAGAAUGGUGUGUGGAUUGAGAGGGGAGGGGGAGAAACCUAUGAAAUAAAGGGGAAGGUGGAGGUAUGACUAUAGAGGUGUAGGCGAAGACAAAGUACAAAAGGAGUACUUUGUGUUAUAAGAGAGCAGUCCUUUUUUUGUCUUUAGCUUUUCUUUCAUUGAUUUUUAAAUUUAUUAUGAUUCAACUUUUGUCCAUGUAAAAGAUUUCAUAAUUGUGGAGAGCUUGAGUGAAAAUAUGUAAUAAGAAUAUGUACCCCAAUAGAAAAGUAAAUCGGCCUGUAAAUCGGCGAAGUACACACAUUGUACAUGUUAACUAUGUAUUUGUAUAUAUAACCUGCGUAAACACAAUGUGCCUCACACUACUCUUCACGUAUCUAUUUGUAAUCACCAUAUCAUUAUAUAAUAUCAUUAAUCAACUUAUUACAGUGGUGCCCAUAAACCUGCGGAAUAGGAAAUCGACAGUAUAGUCUCGAGUUAUGAUUUUACAUAGUCCAAUGAACAUGAAACACAGCUAGUGACGGCGCCGUAUUUACCCAUUUCACGAUAACGAUAUUUAAUUCACAGAUGAUUGCAAUCAAACGUCGUCUUCUCUUUUCCCCAGUUUUAUGAUUCCCACUGUAAAUAUUAACUAUUGACAGUGUCCGACGAUUAAACAUUUUCAAAAUUAGAAAAUUUAAAUUCUAAUUUUUAAAUUUUUAAACACAGUUAACAAGGAAUUGUCAAAAAAACAAAGUUUUCUAUAACUGAAAAUCAAUAUUUUGUUGUUGGACAUUUUAUUGCACUGAGAUUUAAGCACCAUGUAGAUAUAUAACCUUAACUGGAGAUGGACAAAUAACAAAAAAAUAUCCUCCAUUUUGGUAUUUCCAUCAGAUCAAAUUAAGAUGAAAUUUAUUUCUCAAAUCUUUCUUGAUAUUCUGGGUUCUUCCGACCUCAAAGAUUUCAAUAUUUGAGAACUGGGUUGGAUAUAAAGUUAAAGGUUUAGUGUUAUCGUGUGUUCAAUGAAAUAUACAUAUGCAGUGUUUGUAUAUAGUGCUGUUAAAUAUAUUAUGUUUCAUAAAUAA